rnacentral:rRNA from 1 species
GACGAACACUGGCGGCGUGCUUAACACAUGCAAGUCGAACGGAAAGGCCCUGCUUUUGUGGGGUGCUCGAUUGGCGAACGGGUGAGUAACACGUGAGUAACCUGCCCUUGACUUUGGGAUAACUUCAGGAAACUGGGGCUAAUACCGGAUAGGAUCUCCUGCUGCAUGGUGGGGGUUGGAAAGUUUCGGCGGUUGGGGAUGGACUCGCGGCUUAUCAGCUUGUUGGUGGGGUAGUGGCUUACCAAGGCUUUGACGGGUAGCCGGCCUGAGAGGGUGACCGGCCACAUUGGGACUGAGAUACGGCCCAGACUCCUACGGGAGGCAGCAGUGGGGAAUAUUGCACAAUGGGAGGAAGCCUGAUGCAGCAACGCCGCGUGCGGGAUGACGGCCUUCGGGUUGUAAACCGCUUUCGCCUGUGACGAAGCGUGAGUGACGGUAAUGGGUAAAGAAGCACCGGCUAACUACGUG